rnacentral:rRNA from 1 species
GAUGAACGCUGGCGGCGUGCCUAACACAUGCAAGUCGAGCGGAAAGACGAGGCUUUUGCGCCUCUGACGUGAGCGGCGGACGGGUGAGUCACACGUGUAUACCCUACCUAUCAGUCUGAGAUCACUACGGGAAACCGGAUCUAACACCGGAGAAGAUCUUGAACCGCGUGGUUCAUUAGAGAAAGACGGUUAUGCUGUCACUAAUAGAUGUAUCCGCGCUGCUUUAGCUAGUUGGUACGGUAACGGCUUACCAAGGCGACGAUGCGUAGCCGACCUGAGAGGGUGAUCGGCCACACUGGAACUGAGACACGGUCCAGACUCCUACGGGAGGCAGCAGUAGGGAAUCUUCGGCAAUGGGCGAAAGCCUGACGGAGCAACGCCGCGUGAGUGAUGAAGGUCUUCGGAUCGUAAAGCUCUGUUAUUAGGGAAGAACAGCUGUGGAAUGAGACAUGCAGGUCUUGACGGUACCUAAUCAGGAAGCAACGGCUAACUACGUG